GAAACCAUGAAACUAGAAGAAAAUAUAGGCCGUACACUCUUUUGACAUCGGUCUUAUAAGCAUCUUUUUUAAUACCAAGUCUGCUUAGGCAAGAGAAACAAAAGAAAGAAUAAACAAAUGGGACUAAAUCAG